rnacentral:rRNA from 1 species
UACGAAGGGGGCGAGCGUUGCUCGGAAUUACUGGGCGUAAAGCGCACGUAGGCGGAUUGUUAAGUCGGGGUGAAAUCCUGGAGCUCAACUCCAGAACUGCCUUCGAUACUGGCGAUCUCGAGUUCGGGAGAGGUGAGUGGAACUGCGAGUGUAGAGGUGAAAUUCGUAGAUAUUCGCAAGAACACCAAGUGGCGAAGGCGGCUCACUGGCCCGAUACUGACGCUGAGGUGCGAAAGCGUGGGAGCAACAGGG